rnacentral:lncRNA from 1 species
AGUUUAAUAGAAGUUCCACAUAUCUUGAAAACAAAACUAAUAUUUGAGGAGCUUAUGGGAGAGGGAAAACUCUAUUGCCUUCAUUCCCUACCCAAGACAUAAAAAGCACAGGAGAGAAAGUGAAGAGGGUUUGGCUUUUCUGAGAUACAAAUUUCAUUAUUUUUCAGUUUGGGACAACAAUUCUUUUCUUUCCUAUUAUCUAAAAUUGUAAACAAUUAAAAUAUUAUGUCAGUAACAAGUGUAAAAUAUUCUGGCAAAUCAAUACCUUUACUUAACACAAUCUCUGGAGCCCAUUACUUAUUACUUUGUCAUAUGAUUGGGUUCCUGCUGAAUCUCACCAAAUCGCACCAAAAGGGUGACAGAACAACUUCCUGUAAGCAAAGGACAAACAGAUAAGUAAGGGCUCCAGCUGGGUGAACUAUGGGGCAUUUGCCCUGAGCUCAUGCUCAGCAUCAGGGUCAAAGCAAAGGGAACUCUGACAAUGAUUCC